AGUCGAGCGAGGACUUCGGUUCUAGCGGCGGACGGGUGAGUAACGCGUGGGAAUGUGCCCUUCUCUACGGAAUAGCCCUGGGAAACUGGGAGUAAUACCGUAUACGCCCUAUUGGGGAAAGAUUUAUCGGAGAAGGAUCAGCCCGCGUUGGAUUAGGUAGUUGGUGGGGUAAUGGCCUACCAAGCCGACGAUCCGUAGCUGGUUUGAGAGGAUGAUCAGCCACACUGGGACUGAGACACGGCCCAGACUCCUACGGGAGGCAGCAGUGGGGAAUCUUUGACAAUGGGGGCAACCCUGAUCUAGCCAUGCCGCGUGAGUGAUGAAGGCCUUAGGGUUGUAAAGCUCUUUCAGCUGGGAAGAUAAUGACGGUACCAGCAGAAGAAGCCCCGGCUAACUCCGUGCCAGCAGCCGCGGUAAUACGGAGGGGGCUAGCGUUGUUCGGAAUUACUGGGCGUAAAGCGCACGUAGGCGGACCGGAAAGUCAGAGGUGAAAUCCCAGGGCUCAACCUUGGAACUGCCUUUGAAACUAUCGGUCUGGAGUUCGAGAGAGGUGAGUGGAAUUCCGAGUGUAGAGGUGAAAUUCGUAGAUAUUCGGAGGAACACCAGUGGCGAAGGCGGCUCACUGGCUCGAUACUGACGCUGAGGUGCGAAAGCGUGGGGAGC
rnacentral:rRNA from 1 species